GACGAACGCUGGCGGCGUGCUUAACACAUGCAAGUCGAACGGUAAGGCCCUUCGGGGUACACGAGUGGCGAACGGGUGAGUAACACGUGGGUGAUCUGCCCUGCACUUCGGGAUAAGCCUGGGAAACUGGGUCUAAUACCGGAUAGGACCACUGCCUGUAUGGGUGGUGGUGGAAAGCUUUUGCGGUGUGGGAUGGGCCCGCGGCCUAUCAGCUUGUUGGUGGGGUGAUGGCCUACCAAGGCGACGACGGGUAGCCGGCCGGAGAGGGUGACCGGCCACGCUAGGACUGGGAUACGGCCCAGAGUCCUACGGGAGGCAGCAGUGGAGAAUAUUGCACAAUGAGCGCAAGCCUGAUGCAGCGACGCCGCGUGAGGGAUGACGGCCUUCGGGUUGUAAACCUCUUUCAGCACCGACGAAGCGCAAGUGACGGUAGGUGCAGAGGAAGGACCGGCCAACUACGUGCCAGCAGCCGCCGUAA
rnacentral:rRNA from 1 species